CGGCGAGUGAAGCGGCAACAGCUCAAAUUUGAAAGCUGGCCCUUUUAGGGUCCGCGUUGUAAUUUGUAGAGGAUGAUUCGGCGAGGGCUCCCGCCUAAGUCCCCUGGAACGGGGCGUCAUAGAGGGUGAGAAUCCCGUAUGUGGUGGGCUGCCUUAGCCAUGUGAAUCUCCUUCGACGAGUCGAGUUGUUUGGGAAUGCAGCUCUAAAUGGGAGGUAAAUUUCUUCUAAAGCUAAAUACCGGCCAGAGACCGAUAGCGCACAAGUAGAGUGAUCGAAAGAUGAAAAGCACUUUGGAAAGAGAGUUAAAAAGUACGUGAAAUUGUUGAAAGGGAAGCGCUUGCAACCAGACUUGUCCGCAGUUGCUCAGCCGGUCUCCUGACCGGCGUACUCUUCUGCGGCCAGGCCAGCAUCAGUUCGGGCGGUCGGAUAAAGACCUCGGGAAUGUAGCUCCUCUCGGGGAGUGUUAUAGCCCGGGGUGGAAUGCGGCCAGCCUGGACUGAGGAUCUCGCUUCGGCAAGGAUGCUGGCGUAAUGGUUGUAAGCGGCCCGUCUUGAAACACGGACCAAGGAGUCUAACAUCUAUGCGAGUGUUUGGGUGUCAAACCCAUACGCGUAAUGAAAGUGAACGGAGGUGGGAACCCGCAAGGGUGCACCAUCGGCCGAUCCUGAUGUCUUCGGAUGGAUUUGAGCAAGAGCAUAGCUGUUGGGACCCGAAAGAUGGUGAACUAUGCCUGAAUAGGGUGAAGCCAGAGGAAACUCUGGUGGAGGCUCGCAGCGGUUCUGACGUGCAAAUCGAUCGUCAAAUUUGGGUAUAGGGGCGAAAGACUAAUCGAACCAUCU
rnacentral:rRNA from 1 species